rnacentral:rRNA from 1 species
GAUCAUGGCUCAGGAUGAACGCUAGCUACAGGCUUAACACAUGCAAGUCGAGGGGCAGCAUUUUAGUUUGCUUGCAAACUGAAGAUGGCGACCGGCGCACGGGUGAGUAACACGUAUCCAACCUGCCGAUAACUCCGGAAUAGCCUUUCGAAAGAAAGAUUAAUACCGGAUGGCAUCAUGAGUCCGCAUGUUCACAUGAUUAAAGGUAUUCCGGUAGACGAUGGGGAUGCG